UUGUACCAUAUUUCAAAAUGGAAAAACUACCCCCAUUUAUAAAUAAUUAACUAAUUAAAAUUAAUUUAAAAGGGUUUAAUAAAAAUAAUCAAAACAAAUUAAAAUAAAUAAAAAACUUUAAAUAAAUAUUUUUUCUUUCUGUCUCUUUGAAUACCCAAUUUCUCUCUUCUUGUUCUUCACCUCCAGCAAGCCUUCCUUCUUCUCUUCAAUACCUCUGUCUUGGUUUUGGGCGUUUGAUGAUGGGAACGACUACGACUCCUGGUGAUUUGGUUUUCUUGAGAUCUUUGUGCGGUCAUGGUGGUAUUAUGUGUUUUCAGGGGAACACUGGAUCGAUUUAGAGUCGUGGGUCUAAGUUCUUGGUUGAUGUUUCUAUUGGAUCAGAAUUUGUCGAUCAACGACUCUGGGUUCUUAGACGGGUGUUGUGGCUUCGGGUCAUUGUACAGGAAUCCAAAGACUUGGGGUAGACGAGGAAGGCAAGGUUUGACUUAUCGAUUCUUCUUUUUCUUCUCCACUUUAUGUUCUUCGUCUAAAGGACACGGGUCGCGCUGGGUUCAUGGAGUCGAGUUGAAAGUUGAGGCUUAUCGGACACGGGUUCGUCGAGCUUGCUGGUUCAGGGCUUGGAGCAGAUGAUGGUUUGCAGAAGGGACAGAAGGCAUGAGCAAUUUCACGACAGCAGUGCAAAGGACGAUUGGCAAGAGAUUCAAGAAGUUGUUGGGUGAACUUGAGAACACUUCAUUCUCACUUUAUCCAUCAAAGAAACAAGUAGGCAACGAUACAAUUUGGGUUUUGAAAUUAUAUCAGCACGGUGUGAUUGAGUUUUGAAAGAUUUGUUAUGUGAGAUUCAAAAUUUGGGUUUGAUUGUAAGAAUUAAUGAAACUAUAUAUGUGAUGUGAGAUUUGGAGUUUGGGUUAGAUUAUAAUUUUAGAUUCAACCUUUUGAUUUUAAAUCUGGGUUUUGUUCACACUUUGGUAUAGAUUUGGGUUUGUGAUACUUUGCUAUGAAUCUGGAUUUAUGCCAUUGAUAAUUAUUUUGAUUAUUCUAAUGCAGCGAUUGAUGAUGA